AUAUAGUGACACGUUUCUAGAAUCGUUUAAAGAUAUUAUUUAUUUGAUAACAAAGAGAUAUACAAGACCUUACUACUUCUUCAAUUGGAUUUAUAGGAGAUCAAAAUUAAAAAGGGAUCUAGAUGUUUCAAUUAAAAAUAUCCACGACUUUUCAGAACGGAUGUUGCAGAUAAAGAGGGAUGAAAUUGCAAAUGCAUCUCAAGAAGAGAUCAAAUAUGCAGAUUCUGUUUUCAAGCCAUCCAGAUACCAUCUAUUGGAUAACGAAAAUAAAACUUUGAGUCUUGAAGACGUAAAGGACGAACUAAGCGUUAUACUAAUAACAGGUUUUGAGACCAGUGCCAACAUGAUUUUAUUCAUUUUGAUAUUAGUGGGGAGCAAUCCGCGUGUACAGAGAAAAAUUUUCGCUGAACUAGAAGAAGUUUUCGGAGAUUCCGAUAGAGACGUCACUAAAGCUGAUUUACAUUGAUGCAGUAUUAAAAGAAACAUCUCGUUACUGGCCUGUUGUUCCGCUCAUAGGCCGAGUUACUACGGAAGAUAUUCAACUCAGUGAGUAUCAUAAUGAUAAAAAGGUAUAAAAGGCACUGAUUUUCUCAAAAUUGAUUCCUUAAGAAUUCUUUUUGAUGUCAUUAAAUAUAAAGAUUUUGCACAAAUACGUAAGUCCCACUAAAAGUUUUGAGUAACUUUAAAAAAACAACAUGUUAUAACAAAAACAAUAUGUUUAUUGCUUUUCAAAAUAAUCUCCUUUACAUUUUAAACAUUUUUUCAUGCGAUCUAACCAUUUUUUAAAACAGGAGGACCACAGAUCUAAAGGCAUGUUUUCUACGUGCUGAUUGAACGCUAUCACUGCCUCUUCAGAAUUGGUAAAAGUGAAACCCCUUAUCAAAUCUUUGAUUCUGGGGAAUAUACGGAAAUCCCAGGGUGCUAGGUCGGGUCUAUGUGAAGGAUGUGUGACGAGUUGUACGAGCUGUACGAAGCUUAAAAUGACUUAGUUUUAGAUGUAGGAGAACGCGGCUUUUUGGUCGUCUUUCGCGAACUUUUUUUAACACCCUGGGUAAACAAAUAGUAGAAUACAACUCGGCAUUAACACUCUUUUUAUCUUCAAGUGGAAUUGUGCAGAUGGGACCCAUAGCUGAGAAAAAAAAUGCGAUCAUUUUUUACAAACGUUUCUCGCCUGCCUCACUUUUCUUGGCCUGUUCUCAUUUUCAAACACCCAUUCACAAUAUAUCGACGUUUCGUCUGCUGUGACAAUGGCACAUUCUCGCGAAGAGAGACUACUUUUAAAAUCAUAAAAAAACAUCGCUCUAAAAUCUUUUCGACUUAAUUAAAUUUGCGUUGCGUACGUAGAACUUUGACGUGUGAUAAAAACAAUUGACAAAUGAUUACCCGCCAAUUGUUUUUUUUUAUUACUAAGAAGGUUGCAACGUUUAAAAAA